UACGGAGGGUGCAAGCGUUGUUCGGAAUCACUGGGCGUAAAGCGCGUCUAGGCGGGUUUACAAGUCAGCUGUGAAAGCCCUUGGCUUAACCAAGGAUGUGCAGUUGAUACUGUGAGUCUUGAGUGGUGGAGAGAGGGACGGAAUUCCGGGUGUAGCAGUGAAAUGCGUAGAUAUCCGGAGGAACAUCAGAGGCGAAAGCGGUUCCUUGGCCACUAACUGACGCUGAAGCGCGAAAGCGUGGGUAGCAAACAGG
rnacentral:rRNA from 1 species